rnacentral:rRNA from 1 species
UACGAAGGGUGCAAACGUUGCUCGGAAUCAUUGGGCGUAAAGCGCGCGUAGGUGGCUUUGUAAGUCCGUUGUGAAAGUCAAAGGCUCAACCUUUGAAUGCCGAUGGAUACUGCGGAGCUAGAGUACGGAAGAGGCGAGUGGAAUUCCUGGUGUAGCGGUGGAAUGCGCAGAUAUCAGGAGGAACACCAAUAGCGAAGGCAGCUCGCUGGGACGUUACUGACACUAAGGCGCGAAAGCGUGGGGAGCGAACAGG